rnacentral:rRNA from 1 species
UACGUAGGGGGCUAGCGUUGUCUGGAAUCAUUGGGCGUAAAGAGCGUGUAGGCGGCCCGGUAAGUCCGCUGUGAAAGUCGGGGGCUCAACCCUCGAAUGCCGGUGGAUACUGUCGGGCUAGAGUGCGGAAGAGGCGAGUGGAAUUCCUGGUGUAGCGGUGAAAUGCGCAGAUAUCAGGAGGAACACCAAUGGCGAAGGCAGCUCGCUGGGACGGUACUGACGCUGAGGCGCGAAAGCGUGGGGAGCAAACAGG